UACGUAGGGGGCGAGCGUUGUUCGGAUUUACUGGGCGUAAAGAGCGCGUAGGCGGUUCGGUCCGUCGGCCGUGAAAGCCCUCGGCUCAACCGAGGAGCCGCGGCCGAGACCACCGAACUUGAGGGCAGGAGAGGAGAGCGGAAUUCCAGUGUAGCGGUGAAAUGCGUAGAGACUGGGAGGAACACCGGUGGCGAAGGCGGCACUCUGGGCCGGUACUGACGCUGAGGAGCGAAAGCGUGGGGAGCAAACAGG
rnacentral:rRNA from 1 species